AGAAUCAACGCUGGCAGCGUGCCUAACACAUGCAAGUCGCACGAGAAAGGGGCUUCGGUCCUGAGUAAAGUGGCGCACGGGUGAGUAACACGUGAAUCAUCUACCUCCGAAUGGGGAAUAACUGAGAGAAAUCUUAGCUAAUACCGCAUAAUACCUACGGGUCAAAGCAGCAAUGCGUUUGGAGAGGAGUUCGCGGUCGAUUAGUUAGUUGGCGGGGUAAUGGCCCACCAAGACGAUGAUCGAUAUCCGGCCUGAGAGGGCGCACGGACACACUGGAACUGAAACACGGUCCAGACUCCUACGGGAGGCAGCAGUGGGGAAUUUUGCGCAAUGGGGGAAACCCUGACGCAGCAACGCCGCGUGGAGGAUGAAAUAUCUUGGUAUGUAAACUCCUUUCGAUGGGGAAGAUAAUGACGGUACCCAUAGAAGAAGCCCGGCUAACUUCGCGCCAGCAGCCGC
rnacentral:rRNA from 1 species